AGUAUACUAUUCAGUUAUAUUAGUGUGACAGAGACAUUGGGCGUUUCGUUCGCUACGGAGUGUAAACGAUUUGCAACUUGGCUAAGCACCCAGCUUCCUCGCACAUCUCUGGUGGAAACGCAGCCUAAACCUGUCAUUUUAAGCAUCGCCUUGGUUACAUUGAUUUAGAAAAUACGAUUCUCGACAUUUUUUUUCGGACUAUUCACAGUUAGACUUUUAGUUUCAUUUUUGUACUUCGUUAUUGAUACUUUUAGUCUUUUAAAUUUCUUGACAAUAAUAGGUAUUUAGACAUUUUAGGCGUUAUCCGUUUUCCGUUCCACAUAAUAUCAGGACACUGUUACGUCCGUUACCAAUAUACUUUUUAAGAGGAAAGGUGUCGAAAAAAUAUUAAUCAUUGAAUAUUAUCGGCAAUUCAAGGCAAAUAUUUUUUUUUAUUUUAAAAUAUUGUAAACAAUCUUCUGAUAUUUUGUGAAACGGAAAAGUAACGGAAAAAAAUAAAAAUAAUAAUAAACAAAAAGUUCACCCUAGGUGGGAUUCGAACCCGGGGUCACAAUGCGUGCACACUUUAUGAAACCAUGUUCUAAACCUUAUUACAAAAAGCAUAAGGUCCACCGAUGGAUAGUUAAGAGUAUUGCUGUUUCUACCUAAGCCGGUUGUCUGAAAGGAAAAAUUCAGCGCAAAAAGUAAAAAAAAAAGGAAAAAAUUCACCGAUGGCGGGAAUAGAACCCAAGUCACAAGCGAAUACUUUGUGCUAAGUCAAACAUACCUAAGCUGCUAGCUAGAUUCAGACCAGACAUGCAAGUGUUAUAUUUUAAAUGUCAAACAGCUAUGACAUUAUGACUUUAAAAUAACACUUUGCAAGUCUUUGCUUUGAAAAACACUGCAACUAACGUUACCUUGGUCUUACUCUGCCACCCUAGUUAGUAAGCAUGCUAAAAGCAGUUUUUCCGGAAUUAUUAGUCGAUUAAUGUCUAUAAGGAAAAAUUACGAAUUAUAAUAAUGUAAAAAAAAACCGCCCAAGUGCAUGUCAGUAUCGCGCACGAAGGGUUCCGUUACUCAAAAAACGGGAAAAAACACGUUUGUUGUAUGGGAGCCCCAUUUAAAUAUUUAUUAUAAUCUGUUUUUAGUAUUUGUUGUUAUAGCGGCAACAGAAAUACAUCAUGUGUGAAAAUUUCAACUGCCUAGCUAUCACGGUUCAUGAGGUACAGCCUGGUGACAGACAGACGAACAGACAGUCUCAGAUAACGCGGUUAAGUAUACUAUUCAGUUAUAUUAGUGUGACAGAGACAUUGGGCGUUUCGUUCGCUACGGAGUGUAAACGAUUUGCAACUUGGCUAAGCACCCAGCUUCCUCGCACAUCUCUGGUGGAAACGCAGCCUAAACCUGUCAUUUUAAGCAUCGCCUUGGUUACAUUGAUUUAGAAAAUACGAUUCUCGACAUUUUUUUUCGGACUAUUCACAGUUAGACUUUUAGUUUCAUUUUUGUACUUCGUUAUUGAUACUUUUAGUCUUUUAAAUUUUUUGGCAAUAAUAGGUAUUUAGACAUUUUAGACGUUAUUAUUUUUAGUCAUUUUUCCUUACGACAAUAGUCGCCUAAUUCGUUUUCCGUUCCACAUAUUAAUAUCAGGACACUGUUAUGUCCGUUACCAAUAUAUUUUUUAAGAGGAAAGGUGACGAAAAAAUAUUAAGCCUUGAAUAUUAUCGGCAAUACAAGGCAAAUUUUUUUUUAAUUUUAAAAUAUUGUUAACAAUCUUCUGAUAUUUUGUGAAACGGAAAAGUAACGGAAAAAAAUAAAAAUAUAAAUAAACAAAAAGUUCGCCCUAGGUGGGAUUCGAACCCGGGGUCACAAUGCGUGCACACUUUAUGCAACCAUGUUCUAAACCUUAUUACAAAAAGCAUAAGGUCCACCGAUGGAUAGUUAAGAGUAUUGCUGUUUGUACCUAAGCCAAUACUGCUACCGGCUGUGGUGCCGGUAGACAGGUAGAAUAACGUUUUUCGAUUUUGUGAUGUUGGCUGUAGUAGACCCUCAGAUAUCAUUCGCGCGCCAAAAGUCUAGCUGUAAAUUACAUUACGACUGUUACGAGUAAUAAAAGCCCGAUAUAAGUCGGUCAUAAAAUAAAAAAAUAAAUUGUUUAUUUCCGAAAAAUAUUUCUUGGAUACAGUAUAACAAAGCAUACUAAAGCUACUUAUUGUGUACCUACUUAACUGACGGAAGGGGCGCAGCUAUACGUUAUAGUUAUCGACAGUGAUAUCAGCAUUUCACUUCUACUCUACGUAUUGUUUACGUAUUAAGCGUCGGGCGAUACGUAUUAAUUAUGUGAAACUAGACGAGUUUAUUUUCGAAUAGAGAUUGAAAUAAAUCUAAUUAUUUUACUACAAAUAGGUGUACCUAAGUAUAGUAUGUCAAAGGACUUAAUAUAUAUUAACAUGAAAGGUAUUGAAAUCUGUAAUUUUAUAGUUUGGUAAACAAGUAAUUGUCAGUAAAAAACUGUUACGAAAAAGAGAGUACUGAGCUAUAACCGCGAAAAUAAAAAGUUCGCAAAUGGCGGGGAUCUUUCUCUUUUACUCCAAUGAAGGCAUAUAAUUUUUCAUUGCAGUAAAAGCGAAAGAUCCCCGCAAUUUGCGAAUUUCGGUUUUUGCGAUAGCCUCUCUGUUCUUUCUGCUUAAAAUGCUCCACUGAAAAACGACUCUUCCCAAACUAUAGAUUAAGUACAGGUAAGUAGUUUACCUAGUUUAUUUAAAAUUAGCAAAUACCUAAGUUAACAAUGAAACGUUAUGUCUGGUAUGGUCUGGCAAACCAAAUUUGUUAGAAGAAAAGGCAGCAAAUUGAAAAAAAAUUGGCGGGAAAAUUCUAUCUCCCAUAUGAAAUUUGAAUUUCGCAACUAAAUGCUUGGUUUGCCAGGCGAUAUUAGAUAUGUACCUGUAUUUGGAUACAUGUGGCCACUACAUGUGUAUAAGUGGGUGAAUCAACUUGUUUUACCACUUAUUGCCAUAGUUAUGGUUUUCUGAACUACAAAACAAUGGGUACUCAUCCCUUUCUUUUGGGUGCUAGUAUCAGCGUAACACUACAAAGACUCUUUCUGAAAGAUUAUUUGUCUAAAGUGUAAUUCUAUGGAACUUGCUAACUACUUAUGUAAACAAAAGUCAGAAGUAAGUUCAUCAUUCAGAGACAAUUUCAAUAUGUUUACGUAGUUGUAUGUUUACAUAGUUAGCAAGUUCCAUAGAAUGACACUUUAUGUUUGAUAUGAGACAGUCCCUGGACACAAUAGGGCUUAUUACACUUAUCCUGCCUUCAGACGGCUAACGAUGAGCCGCGACGUCGGCCCCGAUAUCGGGCAAGGAUCGUUUUACGUUUCAUGUGGUUUCAUGAAAUAUUGUCACAUCGUUCACAAUAUUUCUUGGUGUAAAAAAUAGUUCAACUACAAAAAUAUCAACCAUGAUUGCCAAUUCGAGACAAAGUAUAUGUUACAUGUCAAAUAUUGUUGACGAUGCUCUUAUAUUUCGUGAAAUGCAAAACGAUCUUGCUCGGGCGCACCGUCGGCCACGAUCGUAUUAAGGCCCGACGGUGUGGAAGUGUAAUAAGCGCUUAUAAUGUACAUAACGUCAAGGGAUAGUUGAUCCACCCAUUUUUUUUUACUAGUUGUGACGUGGCUUCGCCAGUCUCCUUUGUGUCUUUUGAGAGUGUGUGGUACAUGUAUGGUAACGAAUAUUGUCAGCUAGAGGUCGGUUCUGUAACUUCCAACAACUUCUGUAAACAGGAUUGACGUCCGUACAAACAUAGCUAACGUAAUGUUACAUUUUAAGUAAAAAUUAAGGAUGACUCACGCUAGACCGCGCGGGAUCCGAGCCGAGGCGUUCGACACGUAAUUUUCUAUGACGGCUGAUCGGUGUUCACGUGGUGCUUUCCAUAUAAAACGAAGCGCUGGAGCUCCGGCUAGGUCUCAGCCCUGUCUAAUAGCGUGAGUCAUCCUUUAUGGUGAUCUCCUUAAUAGAAAUAGAAGGGCUAAAUCUAUCCUCUCACAAGUGUAACAGGAUAAUUUCUGCUGUGAGAGACAGCUCUUAGUAGCAAGUUAGCAGAAAGUAUCCGGUAGCAGAAAAGGUAUAAUCCUUAGCCAGAAGAUUCCUCCGACGAUCUCACUCCUCACAUUUUUUUUAGACAGAAUAGCAUAAUCUAGUUAUUUAUUUGUGACUAUAUCCUAGAGCCUCAGCGCCCGUUUUUGUACCCGUUUACUAUCUGUGAAUUAUGUAGAAUAUUGUAAAAUAUAGGUAGUAGGCAAUAUAAACUGACUACCUGAUAAUUAUAUAUUUUUUUUUAUAAUCAGGCAGACCACUAAGCUUAUAAUGUUUAACGUAGGUAUUUUUAGACACUCGCGCGACUUGUAGGUACCUUUACAAACACCACCACCAGACCAGUACAAACGGCAAAUAUCAAUUUACGCUUUUCCUACUGACAUAUUGGUUUGCCAAACUACAAUUAUAAUGUACCAUAAUUGGAAUAUGCUUAGGUAUCGACUGCAAUGUAUUAUUAGUUACUGCAAUAAAGAAUUUGUAAGUAUUUCCAGUUCGAUUGUCAAAGCCUCCAUUAGUAGUACCUAGGUGAUCAUAGGUCCUAGAACCGGGUCAUCCGGGGGCUUACGAUAACUUGCUUACUCGUCAAGAUAUGACGAGUAAUUAUUGUAUUUUAAAUUGUUAAAAGAUUUUUAUAGUACUUAUUGUUGUGUUGCUAUAACUUUGUUAGUGGAUUUGUUUAAAAUUGCUGUUAAAUGUUAUAAAAUUUGGUAAAUAAAGUAAUUUAACCAUU